CUUUUUUAAAGACUUUAUUAUCCAUUUGCCGUGGGUCCAACCAGCUAUGUAGGGAUACCCUAUCUUCUUUAUAAGAGCUUUGACACAUGCAAAAUAUUGGAAAAGAAUGUCCGAACAUAUUCUUUUCCCCCCGUAAUAUAGCAAAGAUCACGAAAAGGCCCGAAAAUGUAUAUUAAGUUCAAAAUUUGGAGUAGAAAAAAAAAA
rnacentral:sRNA from 1 species